CGUUCGUCGACGUACGUCUACGAGAGUGUAUCCUGGCUCAGGAUGAACGCUGGCGGCGUGCCUAAUACAUGCAAGUCGAGCGAACCACUUCGGUGGGAAGCGGCGAACGGGUGAGUAACGCGUAGGUGAUCUGCCCAUCAGACGGGGACAACGAUUGGAAACGAUCGCUAAUACCGGAUAGGACGAAAGUUUAAAGAUGCUCCUGGCAUCACUGAUGGAUGAGCCUGCGGCGCAUUAGCUAGUUGGUGGGGUAAAGGCCUACCAAGGCGACGAUGCGUAGCCGACCUGAGAGGGUGAACGGCCACACUGGGACUGAGACACGGCCCAGACUCCUACGGGAGGCAGCAGUAGGGAAUCUUCGGCAAUGGGCGAAAGCCUGACCGAGCAACGCCGCGUGAAUGAAGAAGGCCUUCGGGUUGCAAAAUUCUGUUAUAAGGGAAGAAAGGUGAUAGGAGGAAAUGACUAUCAAUUGACGGUACCUUAUGGGAAAGCCACGGCUAACUACGUG
rnacentral:rRNA from 1 species